rnacentral:rRNA from 1 species
GACGAACGCUGGCGGCGUGCUUAACACAUGCAAGUCGAACGGAAAGGCCCUGCUUGCAGGGUACUCGAGUGGCGAACGGGUGAGUAACACGUGGGUGCUCUGCCCUGCACUUCGGGAUAAGCCUGGGAAACUGGGUCUAAUACCGGAUAGGAGCCAUUUUUAGUGUGAUGGUUGGAAAGUUUUUUCGGUGUAGGAUGAGCUCGCGGCCUAUCAGCUUGUUGGUGGGGUAAUGGCCUACCAAGGCGGCGACGGGUAGCCGGCCUGAGAGGGUGGACGGCCACAUUGGGACUGAGAUACGGCCCAGACUCCUACGGGAGGAAGAAGUGGGGAAGAUUGAACAAUGGGCGCAAGCCUGAUGAAGAGAGGCCGCGGGGGGGAUGACGGCCUUCGGGUUGUAAAAUCCUUUCGCGAGGGACGAAGCUUUUUGUGACGGUACCUAGAGAAGAAGCACCGGCUAACUACGUG